GACGAACGCUGGCGGCGUGCUUAACACAUGCAAGUCGAACGGAAAGGCCCUGCUUUUGUGGGGUGCUCGAGUGGCGAACGGGUGAGUAACACGUGAGUAACCUGCCCUUGACUUUGGGAUAACUCCAGGAAACUGGGGCUAAUACCGGAUAGGAGCUCCUGCUGCAUGGUGGGGGUUGGAAAGUUUCGGCGGUUGGGGAUGCACUCGCGGAUUAUCAGCUUGUUGGUGGGGUAGUGGCUUACCAAGGCUUUGACGGGCAGCCGGCCUGAGAGGGUGACCGGCCACAUUGGGACUGAGAUACGGCCCAGACUCCUACGGGAGGCAGCAGUGGGGAAUAUUGCACAAUGGGCGGAAGCCUGAUGCAGCAACGCCGCGUGCGGGGUGACGGCCUUCGGGUUGUAAACCGCUUUCGCCUGUGACGAAGCGUGAGUGACGGUAAUGGGUAAAGAAGCACCGGCUAACUACGUGCCAGCAGCCGCAGUAA
rnacentral:rRNA from 1 species